CUUAAAAUUUGUUGGCGCGGACGGGUACAACCAGUUCUAGCUAGGCUCUGGUUGUAGUGUAAAAAUAGGAAGAUGGAAUACUACUAAAAUGGAAAUAGUUCACUGUGAACGAGUAAGAGCCAGUGAUGUCACUAACAUACUAAGGAUAAUAUAAAAAGGGUACUGAGAAUAUUAGGAUUCAACAUUAUAAUUGAAGAAGAUGUAGAACAUCAGCAGAGUACCUCUAACGUUGUCUGUUAUAUGCUAUCCUUUUUACUCAUCUUGCAUGGAAAACAAGAUUGAAUAUACGUUAUAUCAUACAUUCCUUAUGGCAAAUAAGGUUCUUUGCUUUUAUUUUUACCAUAUCUUCCAUUCACUGAUUUUUAUGGGCGUUGACGUUCACUGAUUUUCAGAAUGAAAAAAAAAUUAAGCCAUUUGGAAAUUAUAAUAAAAUUAAGGAAUGAUAAGGUGCUUGCCUCAUAGAUGGUGAUGGUAACUCCUUUUAGGGCGAUGUUAGAGAAGCCAUGAUUUCUAUUCACACUUGAUUGGUUUGGACAUCAAUUUCCAGAACUAGCAGAAGACUUCCUGUCCUGUUUGAUAACAAAUAUCUUAGGAAUAUAACCAGAGAUGUCGACUAUGGUCCUUUUAACUAUUUUUUAAAUAUAUUAAAUAUCACUUGACUGAUUUUCAAGUUUACGAGAAAACAGGCAUUCAAUGUAUUCAAACUAAUUAUCGAGCAUCAUCAAGUUAACUACGAAACAAUUUUCUUUAAGAUUAACUCAGUUCAGGACAUCUGAAGAAACUUCAAAAUUCCUUAAGUGUAUCGACAGUAUAAGUUUACAGAUCCAGAAUUUGAAAAUGCUGCAAUGGAUUGAUUUGAAUAACUGUUAAGUGAAAAUGAAUGAUUUUCAAAGCAAUACAAUGUGGAGACAAAAAUUGAUAGACUUGAGAAUUGGACAUCAAGAUGUAUCGAUUAUUAACAGUAAUAGUAAAGGAAACGAGAUUUUGAAACCAAUUCCAUUCGCGUAAGUUUUGUCUAUCUGAAAAAUCUAGCAGUGGCAAAAUUUAUCAUAUUUUCAAUAACUAAUCAUGUGAGUCAUGGUUUUCAUUUAAGAGCAUUGUCAAGUCUAAUUAUAGAAGUAGUCUUACCGAUGGACUCUUGCGUUAUGCAUAGCUCUUGAAACAACCAAAUACAAUGCUAAAAUAAAGUAUCAAAGUAUCUGUGUUCGAACGCACAGAAGCUGAGUAACACGUUUAUUUCCCUUUCGAUUUUUGUUUUGGCUUUAAAAAUAUUUGCAUUGACAGUAUAAUUUAUGAAUAAAGUUAGUUUUCUAUCGUCUUCAUAAAACAUUGAAUCAUAUUUUUGGUCUUGCUUAUAAAAUGCAACACUAUAAAUUGUUAUUUUCUAUUACCCGUUUCUUUAAAAGCCAUUAACAAUAAUUGUUUGAAGGUGCUAUCUAAAAUGCUUUCAUUUAUUUUAAUUUCACUUCCUCUGAUAUAUAUUUGUUAGUAGCACAUAGCU